CCCAUCCCUUCACACACACCCCGCAGCCACCUUCCCCCCACACCCUGCGCGCAGCUAGCUGGAGCCAUGGAUGGUCUUGAGUUCUUCUACGAGCAAGCAAGAUCCAGGCUGAUCCCCAGGAUCGAUGCAGGUGAUAUUUUGGCUGGCGAGAUCGAAGGCGUCGAGUUUGUGAUUGCUUCGAUCCAGGAAUGUCGUGAGCGCCCACCUGCUGCGCUAUCUUUUCUGAACCAUGAGUGGUGGCAGCAGUGAAGAGAAAAUCCGAGAUGAGUGCGAAAGUGAGGUCAUUGUUGACUCUAACGAUGCGGCUCAUCUGUCCGCGCCCGUUGAACAUGUGGUAGAAGAUGGAGAUGCAGAGGGUGUCGUCGUCAACAACUCAAAUGGCUCGUGCUGGACUCGGCGGUAAUACGCGCACAUCCCAAGUCUGUGUCUUUUCCUCUUUUUUGUGCUUUAGUGCAGCGAUGCUACCCAUGCUUAGGAUUGUCCAAUUUUUUUGCAUUUGCACCCUGCACAUGAUACCUUGUUCUCAAAAGGAUCCUCGUAUUUGUCUCUGUAUGUCCUAUCACAAAAAAAUGUUGAUGUGCAUUACGGAAAAACAAACCCCUGCAGUGUUAGGAUUGGGAAAGCUUCGGAAGAGAGGGAUGCAAACCCAAUCAGAGUACCUGCGCUGGAGGCUUCUAUGCGAGCUUACGCAGACAAUAAUGCUGGUACUGUCGUUAAUCCGGCACUCGGGACUAGCUUUGAUUCUGUUGAAGAAGCAUACGAGUUUUACAACCUGUACUCUUGGGAGUGUGGGUUUGGCAUUAGGGUAGGCCGUUGCAAGCGAACAGUCGCUCGACGAGGUCUCGCUGCUUAGCACUGAUGUGUGUGCUUAGGUCAGAGGACAAAGGUUGGUACAUAUGCGAGCACAAAGCAGACCACAACCAUGCGCCGUCGGUCAACUGUAUGGAGAAAUUGCACUGGAAGUCGCACCGGCAUAUAGAUAGGUACACAAGGGACCUAAUGAAACAACUUAGGGAGAACAAUAUAAGCCUGAGCAAGAUUUACAGCGUAGUGGGAAGUUUUUUCGGAUCUGUGAAGCAGGUGCCAUUCACAAAAAGGUCUCUGAAAACUCUGUGUGGAAAACUUAGCAGAGAGCAGUCGGAAAAUGAUGCCACAAAAACAAUAGAGGUGUUCAAUGCAAUGCGAGCUGAAGAUCCUGAGUUCAAAUAUAGUGUACAGGUUGAUGAUGAUAGUCGGGUGAAGACUUUGAUGUGGACAACAGGGCGGAGCAUCGAGCAAUUUAAGUGUUUUGGUGAUGCUGUCACAUUUGAUACGACGUACAAAACAAACUUAUAUGAUAUGCCGUUUGGUCUAUUUGUUGGUGUCAACAAUCACUUCCAGAGCAUUAUUUUUGGUGGGUUGCUGAUGAACGACGAGAAAAUCAACACUUUCAAAUGGAUAUUCACGGAAUUCUUUCAGAUGAUAGGUGCUCCGCAACCACGGACAAUGCUCACAGACCAAGCCCGUGCAAUGGAGGUUGCAAUAGACGAUGUCAUGAAACAUACAACCCAUCGAUGGUGCACAUGGCAUGUCGUGAAAAAGCAAAAGAGUGUCUCGGACCACUGCUCGGCAAAGGAAGUGAAUUCAAACAGGAGUUCAACAAGAUGGUGCACCACGUUGUUAGUGAGAAAGAGUUUGAGGAUGGUUGGGAGUGUAUGGUUGAGAGGCAUGGUCUACAGAAAAAUACGUUUCUCACCCAGAUAUAUGAGAUGCGAAGGAAGUGGGCUAAGCCAUAUUUUAUGGAUGUCUUCUGUGCGAAGAUGACCAGCACACAACGGAGUGAGAGUGCAAACCAUUUGCUUAAAGGAUAUGUUCCACCAGGGUCCCCGAAGCAUUUAUUUGUCAGACAAUACGAGAAGAUGCAAUUUGAUAGAGAUUCAGAGGAGAGUUAUCAGGAGAAGAGAACAAAGCUGGGAGGUGUUAUCCUGGCACAGAACCUCCCAAUUGAGAUACAUGCAUCCCAAAUUUACACGAGGGCCAUGUUUGAAAAAUUCGGGGAGAUGUUGUACGAGGGUGGCUCGUAUGUCCUCACUGAAGUUGUGGCUCGGCGUGAGUACAUUGCCGUGCAUGUGAAGAAAGUUUCGAGGGACAAAUGGUCAAAAAAUGAAUUUCUUGUCCGUGUGAACGAACCUGCUGACGAAUUCAACUGCGAAUGUGGGAUGUUUGAACAUUUUGGCAUGGUGUGCAGCCAUGCGUUGAAGGUCAUGAUCCACCUUGGUCUGCAAGAGGUCCCUGCCAAGCAUGUGCUGAAGCGUUGGACAAAGGAUGCAAGGGAUAUACUACCUCCAGAGUUCCUACGUUACCAGAAAGAUCAGGGUCCUCUCAAGUACUCUUCCGGCGACAUAACAAUCUGCAUCUCCUUUGCCUUGAAAUUGUUAGGCUGGGCGACAGCAAUGUGGAUGCUUAUGCUAUUGCCAUGGAACAUCUGAGGGAUGUCAAGACAUUGCUGCAGCCGGUUGCUGCUAUACGCGACGGCAUGGGCUUAUCUGAUAGAGAGGGUGCCGGUGAUUCUUCAUGUUCUGGUACAGUACAAAAGCAACACUUUGGUGCGGCCCAUCAGGUGCAGAGCUCAUCGCAAUGCUCGGAUAGCUUUGGAGCACCCUCAAAAAAGAGGUUAGCAGGGCGGCCAACGACAAGCCGGGACAAAGCGCCAUAUGAACAACCAGCUAAGAGGACUCGGUUUUGUUCAAUAUGCCGUGGGCAAGGGCACAAAAGCACUACAUGCCCCCAACAUGGCGAUCUCCCAAAGGCUCCGAGGAAGUCUCCUCGGUGCUCAAGGUGCAGCCUGACAGGACACAGAAGGAACACCUGCACCAACACAUCAAGAGCAGAUUUCUAUGGUUGAUGUUUUGUUUUGGAUUUUAUGCUUCAUAUAUGCUACCAUGCAACUCGUAUAAACUGUUUGCGGAUUUUAGUUAAUCUAUCUGUUUGUGGUACUAUUGUUUGUAUAUGUAGCUUGGAAUGUCUUGUUUUAAAA